rnacentral:rRNA from 1 species
UACGUAGGGUGCAAGCGUUGUCCGGAAUCAUUGGGCGUAAAGCGCGUGUAGGCGGCUCGAUAAGUCUGCUGUGAAAGUCCAGGGCUCAACCCUGGGAUGCCGGUGGAUACUGUCGGGCUCGAGUCCGGAAGAGGCGAGUGGAAUUCCUGGUGUAGCGGUGAAAUGCGCAGAUAUCAGGAAGAACACCCGUGGCUAAGGCGGCUCUCUAGUACGUGACUGACGCUGAGACGCGAAAGCGUGGGGAGCGAACAGG